AGGACGACCUUCCCAUCAUGGAUCAACACCGGGACGACCCGG
rnacentral:sRNA from 1 species